GUAGGUGGCAAGCGUUGUCCGGAAUUAUUGGGCGUAAAGCGCGCGCAGGCGGUUCUUUAAGUCUGAUGUGAAAGCCCACGGCUCAACCGUGGAGGGUCAUUGGAAACUGGAGAACUUGAGUACAGAAGAGGAAAGCGGAAUUCCACGUAUAGCGGUGAAAUGCGUAGAGAUGUGGAGGAACACCAGUGGCGAAGGCGGCUUUCUGGUCUGUAACUGACGCUGAGGCGCGAAAGCGUGGGGGAGCAAACAGGAUUAGAUACCCUGGUAGUCCACGCCGUAAACGAUGAGUGCUAAGUGUUAGGGGGUUUCCGCCCCUUAGUGCUGCAGCUAACGCAUUAAGCACUCCGCCUGGGAGUACGGCCGCAAGGCUG
rnacentral:rRNA from 1 species